UAGGGAAUCUUCGGCAAUGGGGGCAACCCUGACCGAGCAACGCCGCGUGAGUGAAGAAGGGUUUCGGAUCGUAAAGCUCUGUUGUAAGUCAAGAACGGGUGUGAGAGUGGAAAGUUCACACUGUGACGGUAGCUUACCAGAAAGGGACGGCUAACUACGUGCCAGCAGCCGCGGUAAUACGUAGGUCCCGAGCGUUGUCCGGAUUUAUUGGGCGUAAAGCGAGCGCAGGCGGUUUGAUAAGUCUGAAGUUAAAGGCUGUGGCUCAACCAUAGUUCGCUUUGGAAACUGUCAAACUUGAGUGCAGAAGGGGAGAGUGGAAUUCCAUGUGUAGCGGUGAAAUGCGUAGAUAUAUGGAGGAACACCGGUGGCGAAAGCGGCUCUCUGGUCUGUAACUGACGCUGAGGCUCGAAAGCGUGGGGAGCGAACAGG
rnacentral:rRNA from 1 species